rnacentral:rRNA from 1 species
UGAGUAACCUGCCCUUCACUCUGGGAUAACUCCGGGAAACCGGGGCUAAUACUGGAUAUGACCUACUCGGGCAUCCGAUGUGGGUGGAAAGAUUUAUUGGGUGGGGGAUGGACUCGCGGCCUAUCAGCUUGUUGGUGAGGUAAUGGCUCACCAAGGCGACGACGGGUAGCCGGCCUGAGAGGGCGAUCGGCCACACUGGGACUGAGACACGGCCCAGACUCCUACGGGAGCAG